rnacentral:rRNA from 1 species
GACGAACGCUGGCGGCGUGCUUAACACAUGCAAGUCGAGCGGUAAGGCCCUUUCGGGGGUACACGAGCGGCGAACGGGUGAGUAACACGUGGGUGACCUGCCCUCAGCUCUGGGAUAAGCCUGGGAAACCGGGUCUAAUACUGGAUAUGACUCCAUGACGCAUGUUGUGGGGUGGAAAGCCUUGUGCGGCUGAGGAUGGGCCCGCGGCCUAUCAGCUUGGUUGGUGGGGUGANGGGCCUACCAAGGCGACGACGGGUAGCCGGCCUGAGAGGGCGACCGGCCACACUGGGACUGAGACACGGCCCAGACUCCUACGGGAGGCAGCAGUGGGGAAUCUUGCGCAAUGGGCGAAAGCCUGACGCAGCGACGCCGCGUGAGGGAUGACGGCCU